GAUUGGGUAUUUCAAUGUCAUUUGAUUUCAAGUCAGUGCGAGGAGUCCUGCUUUCCAUUAGAGUAAAUGCGUUUUUCCACGUUCAACGAAAUAGCUGUCGAGACGCUUAUGAAUAUGAAUAGCGUUAGUUUUUUCUGCGAUAGUUGGCUAACAUGCUCAGGUAACAACAAAAUGGGAAGGGGAAUACGCGGGACGCCGAAGCUGAGAUGCUCUUGUCUUUGUCUUUGCCCAAGCUCCAGAACAAAGGUGCUUCACAGUUGCAUUUGACUGCGACAGUUCUCUAUUCUCUCUAUCGAUAUACAUAAUACAGAUGUUAUUCUUGUA